rnacentral:misc_RNA from 1 species
GUACACCUUGAGCCUAUAAUAACUAUGGUAAUACUACCAUCAGGACCACCUCCAUCCUGUAAUUACCAUUAAGCCCACUAAAACUAGAAUCAUUACAGCCAUCACCCACAAUCAUCAUUCUAACCAGCACCACUGUCACUACUACAGCCAUCAUCCACUGCCACUACCACCAUGUUCUCAUCAUACAUUGAUGCCAUCACCACUACUACCAUGGCUAUCA